rnacentral:rRNA from 2 species
UUCCGGUUGAUCCUGCCGGACCUGACUGCUAUCGGAUUGAUACUAAGCCAUGCGAGUCAUUGUAGCAAUACAAGGCAGACGGCUCAGUAACGCGUAGUCAAUCUACCCUAUGGACGGGAAUAACCUCGGGAAACUGAGAAUAAUGCCCGACAGAACAUUAUACCUGGAACGGUUUAUGUUUCAAAUGAUUUAUCGCCGUAGGAUGGGACUGCGGCCUAUCAGUUUGUUGGUGAGGUAAUGGCCCACCAAGACUAUUACAGGUACGGGCUCUGAGAGGAGUAGCCCGGAGAUGGGUACUGAGACACGGACCCAGGCCCUAUGGGGCGCAGCAGGCGAGAAAACUUUGCAAUGUGCGAAAGCACGACAAGGUUAAUCCGAGUGGUUUCUGCUAAAGAAACCUUUUGCUAGUCCUAGAAACACUAGUGAGUAAGGGGUGGGCAAGUUCUGGUGCCAGCCGCCGCGGUAAAACCAGCACCUCAAGUGGUCAGGAUGAUUAUUGGGCCUAAAGCAUCCGUAGCUCGUUUUGUAAGUUUUCGGUUAAAUCCAUACGCUUAACGUAUGGGCUGCCGGGAAUACUGCAUAACUAGGAAGUGGGAGAGGUAGACGGUACUCGGUAGGAAGGGGUAAAAUCCUUUGAUCUAUUGAUGACCACCUGUGGCGAAGGCGGUCUACCAGAACACGUUCGACGGUGAGGGAUGAAAGCUGGGGGAGCAAACCGGAUUAGAUACCCGGGUAGUCCCAGCUGUAAACUAUGCAAACUCAGUGAUGCAUUGGCUUGUGGCCAAUGCAGUGCUGCAGGGAAGCCGUUAAGUUUGCCGCCUGGGAAGUACGUACGCAAGUAUGAAACUUAAAGGAAUUGGCGGGGGAGCACCACAA